rnacentral:rRNA from 1 species
UACGUAGGGUCCGAGCGUUGCUCGGAAUCACUGGGCGUAAAGCGCACGUAGGCGGAUUGCUAAGUCAGGGGUGAAAUCCUGGAGCUCAACUCCAGAACUGCCCUUGAUACUGGCGGUCUCGAGUCCGGGAGAGGUGAGUGGAACUGCGAGUGUAGAGGUGAAAUUCGUAGAUAUUCGCAAGAACACCAGUGGCGAAGGCGGCUCACUGGCCCGGUACUGACGCUGAGGUGCGAAAGCGUGGGGAGCAAACAGG